rnacentral:rRNA from 1 species
UACGAAGGGGGCUAGCGUUGCUCGGAAUCACUGGGCGUAAAGGGUGCGUAGGCGGGUUUUUAAGUCAGAGGUGAAAUCCUGGAGCUCAACUCCAGAACUGCCUUUGAUACUGAGAAUCUUGAGUAUGGGAGAGGUGAGUGGAACUGCGAGUGUAGAGGUGAAAUUCGUAGAUAUUCGCAAGAACACCAGUGGCGAAGGCGGCCGACUGGUCCGGUUCUGACGCUGAGGCGCGAAAGCGUGGGGAGCAAACAGG